rnacentral:rRNA from 1 species
UACAGAGGGUGCGAGCGUUAAUCGGAAUUAUUGGGCGUAAAGGGAGCGUAGGCGGAUGUGCAAGUGGUAGGUGAAAUACCCGGGCUUAACCUGGGGAGGUCCUAUCAGACUGCACGUCUAGAAUGUGGUAGAGGAAGGUGGAAUUCCUGGUGUAGCGGUGAAAUGCGUAGAUAUCAGGAAGAACAUCAAUGGCGAAGGCAGCCUUCUGGGCCAUAAUUGACGCUGAGGCUCGAAAGCGUGGGGAGCGAACAGG